CCUACGGGAGGCAGCAGUGAGGAAUAUUGGACAAUGGGCGCGAGCCUGAACCAGCGAAGUCGCGUGAGGGAUGAAGGUUCUAUGGAUCGUAAACCUCAUUUAUAAGGGAAUAAAGUGUGGGACGUGUCCUAUUUUGUAUGUACAUUAUGAAUAAGGAUCGGCUAACUCCGUGCCAGCAGCCGCGGUAAUACGGAGGAACCGAGCGUUAUCCGUAUUUAGUGGGUUUAAAGGGUGCGUAGGCGGCCUUUUAAGUCAGCGGUGAAAGUCUGUGGCUCAACCAUAGAAUUGCCGUUGAAACUGGGUGGCUUGAGUGUGUUUGAGGCAGGCGGAAUGCGUGGUGUAGCGGUGAAAUGCUUAGAUAUCACGCAGAACCCCGAUUGCGAAGGCAGCCUGCCAAGCCAUGACUGACGCUGAUGCACGAAAGCGUGGGGAUCAAACAGGAUUAGAUACCCGGGUAGUC
rnacentral:rRNA from 1 species